UACGGAGGGUGCAAGCGUUAUCCGGAUUUACUGGGUUUAAAGGGUGCGCAGGCGGAUAUGUAAGUCAGUGGUGAAAUCUCCGGGCUUAACCCGGAACUGCCGUUGAUACUAUAUAUCUUGAAUGCUGUGGAGGUAAGCAGAAUAUGUCAUGUAGCGGUGAAAUGCUUAGAGAUGACAUAGAAUACCUAUUGCGAAGGCAGCUUACUACGCAGAUAUUGACGCUCAUGCACGAAGCGUGGGAUCAACAGG
rnacentral:rRNA from 1 species